AUGCGGGGUGGUACCGGCGGCAGCGACAGCAGCCAGGCGAGUGUGUGGAAGCCCUGGCCAUGCCGGAAGAGUGCGCCGGACUACGUCCUGGCGGGCGCAGCUUCGAACCCCACACCCCCCUCCAUCUUCCCCCUGGUUCCCUGCUGCACCAAGACUGACAAUGCUCCCCCGGACACAAGCUUGGCCUGCCUCGUAACGGGCUAUUUCCCAUCACCAGUGGAGAUCAAGUGGAAUUCGGGCAAAGUGACCGAGGGGGUCACAACUUUCCCAGAGGUGACGGUGAGCAACGGGCGCUUCACCCAGAGCAGCCUGCUGAUCAUCCCUGCCAGACCCCGGCAGGGCGACACCUACCAGUGCGAUGUGACACAUCAAGGGACAGCAACGACCGAGUCGAAGAAGUUCCCUCAGGAGUGGUGUGGUUUGACAAAGCCAUCCGAGGUUCACCUCCUGGUGCCCACCUGCGAGGAGAGCUCCACAGAGAGCCAGCUGGAGCUGGUUUGCCUCCUCCUGAGCUUCAAACCCGACCAAGCCAACGUGAAAUGGCUGGUGAACGGAAAGGAGAGCAGCCCCCCCACCCCGGCCUUUUCCUUUGCAAUGGCCACAGAUGGCUUCUACAUGGGGCAGAGCCGCAUGAACGUCACCAAGCAGAGCUGGGAGAAGGGGGACGUCUACACCUGCCAAGUUACCCACCCAGCAGUGGGAGCAGAGCUGUCCAUGCACAACACCAGCAAGUGCUUGGCCUGCCUCAGAAGCUCACUUGACCCAACCAUCUACUUAACCAAACCCUCCUAUGAAGAUGUCAUCAAAAAUUCUGGUCAUGUUACCUGUCUAGUUCUGGGCUAUGACUUAGCAGCCAGCAGAAUCGCAUGGAAAGUGGAUGGGCAAGUCAGCUUUGCGGUGAAGACAGAACCCCCCAAGAAGAACAGCAACGGGACCACCAGCCUGCUCAGUUCUCACCCUGUGUCACUGGCACAAUGGGGACAAGGCACCCAAUUUACCUGCAAAGUGACCACACCCUGUUCUGGAGAACUAACGCAGGACAUAACCAUGAGCAAUACAGGCAUCAGGAAGAAGGAGCCCUCAGUCACCAUCUCCCGAGCCUACCACGAAGACAUCUCCGGGAAUAGAGUCUCCUUGACUCUCAUCUGUGAAGCUAGUGGCUUUUACCCAGAAGAGAUCAGCAUCUCAUGGUUGAAGAACAACUCCCCAGAACUCAAGUCGAGUUACAAUAAUGGCCCUGUGUCAGGAAGUGGCAUUUUCUCUGCCUACAGCAUCCUGAAGGUUGACAAAAGUGUAGGAGCAGUAAAUUACACCUGCGUGGUGCAUCACCCAGCCAUGGAAGAGCCCAAGAAGGUUGUGGAAAAGGUGUCCCUCGAUUUCCUGGAGCCAUCUCCCCCAACAGUCACAGUCUUCCACACACCAGACAUAGGUGGGCAUGAGAAUCUGACCUGCUUUGCCACUGGCUUCUACCCAAAGAACCUAGACAUGCAAUGGACUGUCAACAAUCAGCAGCUCAGCUGCAGCUUUCCCUCCUCUCCGACGGCCCUGGGCGAUGGGAGGUUCCAGCAGAGCUGUCAGCUGGUGUUCAGAGCGGCUGAGAGGAGCACGCUGAAGCCCUACACCUGCACUGUGACCCAUAGCUCCACUAAGAUGAUCCUGAAGACGGUGCUGCACUCUACUGGCUGCCGGGAACCAGCAUUGCCAUCUGCCUACAUCCAGCCCCCAUCUUUGAAAGAGCUUUUCAUGAACAAAUCAGCUUCUGUGAUGUGCAAGACCUCCCUGGCCAAUGCCAGUAUCAACUGGACAAUGGACGGUGAGCUGGCGGACCUGGGAGCCGUGAGGAUGGAGCAACUCAACGGCAGCACCUGGCUGCAAAGUUGGCUGCAGGUCAACCUGAGUGAAUGGAACUCCACCGAGACCGUCAGAUGCCAGAUCAAGAGUGACCUGGCGGAGAAUGUGCUGGGCAUCAGCCCAAAGAAUGGUUCCUUGAAGGCUCCAACCAUCUACCUUCUGUCCCCAUCUUCAGAGGAAAUCUGCCGCAACCAAAACCUCACUCUUCACUGCGUCGUCAAAGACUUCUACCCUGGUGAGGUCUCCGUCUGGUGGCAGGAGAAGACAGCCCAGACGGAGGUCGACAUCCUGGCCGAUGACGAGAACCACAGCUGUGACCAUAACAGCCAGCAGUGCUCAAUGAUCAGCAAGCUUGAGGUGUCCAGGAGCAGAUGGAUUCUGGGGACUUCCUACAGCUGUCUAGUCGCCCACCUCUCCUCUGAAGGGAUUAUAGCAAGAAGUGUCAAUGUUCAUACUGAGUCCUGGCACUGCUCCGUCCUGGGCAUCAACCCCUGCAGCAUCCAAGACAACAGCAUGGAUGACUACAGUGAGUUGGACGAUGCCCAAUGCGUGUGGACCACGGUCUCCACCUUCAUCGCCCUCUUCCUCAUCACGCUCUUCUACAGCGGAUUCGUCACCUUCAUCAAGGUGAAAUAGGCACCACUUUCUCCACACAGUGAAGAAGAAGGGAUGGGGUCCAAUCUGCCCCUCUGUUUGCAGUUCUUUUGCCCACUUCCAUUUCCCUGCCUAUCCAUGGCGGCUGGCCUGACCUACAGGGUAGAUCAUCUGGCCAUGGUGAUCUCCCAUUACUUCCAGAGACACAUGAAGAAAGAACAUCAAAGAAAGGCCUUCACUGUUCCCGCCCAUUUUAUGAAGGCCAAGAACUAUGCAUACUGCAUGCUAAGGGAGAGAAAGUGGGUAAAGACGUCUCCCAAAAAGAUUCUUUUGAUAGUUCUCUGUUCCUUCUCUCAGCCUUACCAUAUCAGCUCCCUAACCCCUCAAAAAAUUACCUGAGCUCCCCUCUGUGCUGCUAAAUCUUAUUCUGUACUACCCCUCCUGAGAGUCUUAGGGGGUCACGGUUGGGGACCCAAUAUUCCCCCCCCCCCAUCUUUCACAGGGCUUCUAAGGUGGGAAACAAACCCCACUCCAUUCAAGGUUGCCAAGGACCCUGGGACCCCCUAGGGUAAUACACACAUACCCCUAGUCCUAGAACAGAGAUGGAGCCAGUUGCAACAAUCUUCAUCCAGAAAAAGCCAGCUCACAGCCACUCCAUGCUAUCCAACCUCGCAAGAAUUCAUCCUCGUUCUGUUUCUCCACUCAACCCCCUGAGAGCCGAACCUAAUGCUGCAGAUCCCGCACUGCACCCCACUGGAACCCAGCCUAAGGCCAUUGCCCCCAGGAGGUCCCCACUCUACCCAACAAGAUCCUAAUCCAAUGGUAUUGACCCCUCAAGUUCCUCACAUAACCCCACAAGAACCCAACUCCAUGCUGUUUCUUCUAACAAAGCCCCAACCCUAAAAGACUCCAAACUAAUGCUUUUCCUCAGUAAAUUCUCCCACUCAAUGCUGGAAGAAUCCAAUCCAAAUGCAUUCCCUACCCAUCCCUAGGAGGGUCACGGCUACUCCCCCAACAAAAUCACAACCCAACCUGACAAGAACCUAACCCAUACAUCUUCCAAUCCAUACGUAGCCAAACUCCACUCUUCCAGUCUGAGGCCAACUCCAAACCCAGAUCUCUCAUGACUAAAUUCUAAGCUGUUUCUCCCAUGCCAGUUACUCUCACAAUCUUUAAUGCCUCACAUCCCAUGCUACUGUAAUUGCCAUAUAUUCUGAGGUCUUGGGGCUUUUUGUACAAACGACAUGUAUUGAUUUACAUGCACCUGCAUUAUUUUCUGUUGCAUUGCAAUAGCCUGCAUUGUUUUGCUUUGCAUUGGCUUUCCUGAAUUUGCAUUGCAUUGCCAGGGACUGCAUAGUGCUGCAUUGUAGCAUGGCAUCAUGCCUUAUUGCAUUAUACUGCAUUGCUUGUACAUGGUGUUCUUUCAUGCUACCCUGUUGCAUUGCCUGGUAGUGCACCAAUUUAUACUGUGUUGUGCUGUCAAGUGCUAUAGAAACAUAGAAAUGUAGGCUUGGAAGGGACUUCGAGAAGUCAUCAAGUCCAGCCCCCUGGGCUGAGGCAGGACCAAGUACAUCUAGACUAUCGCUGAGAGGUGUUUGUCCAACCUGUUUUUCAAAACCUUCAAUGACGGGGAUACCACUACCUCCCUUGGAAGCCUAUUCCAGAAUACAAUGACCCUGGUAGCUAGAAAGAUUUUUCCUAACAUCGAACCUAAAUCUCAAUUGCUGAAGAUGUAUUUGUCUUACAUUUAUUAUUAUUAAUCGUGUUUAUUAUGGUUUUCUGUAGGACCAACCAAGGAUGGGGUCCCAUUGUGCCAGGGGCUGCACAAACACAGAGUAGCAGCCGUUCCCUGCCUGAAACAGUUUAUAGUCUCAACAGACAGACGCAAGGUGAGGGAAGGGGUAGAACGCGCCAGUACAGUGAAUGGUACGAUGGUGGCAAAUGACACGUUAGUGCCGCGAUUUUUUUAAGGUGGGUUUAAUUAGGAGGGGAUUAGCUAAAUGACAGACAAGUGCAGGGAGGUUGAAAGGACGGGAGGUGAGGGGGACAGUGCAGGGGAGAAGCGAGGCAGGUGUGAGGUGGAGUCAAGGUAAGGAGUAGGUGGGGGAGGAAAGGAGAAGGUUGGCGCAAACAGCCAAUCAGCACAAAAAGGAGAAAGUCCAGUUUGAAUUCCAGAAAGUUCUGUGACCAUGUGAAGGUCCCUGCUUUGUAUUGCAUUUGUUCACAUUGCAGCGAGCCUUUGCAUGGCAUUGUGUUGCACUGACUUGCCUUGUGAGUGGAGCUGUGUGAAUAACUGAUUUGGGGGUUCACUGGCCAGUCUGAAUUUAAAAAAAAAAUCAUUUGGGGUGGACCUGAACCAACAUUUUUCAGAAUUUCUGGCAAAUCAAAAAUUAAAAACUAUCAUUUCAGGUGAAACAAAAUUUGUUCAGCUUGAAAUAAAACAC